AUCUUUGCUAUAGGCAAUAAACAUGACCUGGGAUGAUACGGCUGGCAGUGAGUGAAAAAGGGCUGUAGGAAGCAGAUGAGAAGGGUUGGGAGCCCUAAGCUGCUCCACAUCUGGUGUUGUAUUAAAGGCAUAUGGGCCGCCCCAAUCAGGCCUGAUGGGGGUGAUGGAUUUCAACCUCUGGUUUCAACCUCAGAGGAUUUCAACCUCUGGUUUUCCAGCACUGCGUCAUGACAGACAAGCCAGCAAGCUGUCAACAGUCUGGUCCAGAGCAAGGGAUGAAGA